rnacentral:rRNA from 2 species
ACGGGUGAGUAAUGCCUAGGAAUCUGCCUGGUAGUGGGGGAUAACGUUCGGAAACGGACGCUAAUACCGCAUACGUCCUACGGGAGAAAGCAGGGGACCUUCGGGCCUUGCGCUAUCAGAUGAGCCUAGGUCGGAUUAGCUAGUUGGUGAGGUAAUGGCUCACCAAGGCGACGAUCCGUAACUGGUCUGAGAGGAUGAUCAGUCACACUGGAACUGAGACACGGUCCAGACUCCUACGGGAGGCAGCAGUGGGGAAUAUUGGACAAUGGGCGAAAGCCUGAUCCAGCCAUGCCGCGUGUGUGAAGAAGGUCUUCGGAUUGUAAAGCACUUUAAGUUGGGAGGAAGGGCAGUUACCUAAUACGUGAUUGUUUUGACGUUACCGACAGAAUAAGCACCGGCUAACUCUGUGCCAGCAGCCGCGGUAAUACAGAGGGUGCAAGCGUUAAUCGGAAUUACUGGGCGUAAAGCGCGCGUAGGUGGUUUGUUAAGUUGGAUGUGAAAUCCCCGGGCUCAACCUGGGAACUGCAUUCAAAACUGACUGACUAGAGUAUGGUAGAGGGUGGGUGGAAUUUCCUGUGUAGCGGUG